rnacentral:rRNA from 1 species
UACUUAGGGUGCGAGCGUUAAUCGGAAUUACUGGGCGUAACGCGUGCGCAGGCGGUUUUAUAAGACAGGUGUGAAAUCCCCGGGUUCAACCUGGGAAUGGCAUUUGUGACUGUAAGACUAGUGUACGGUAGAGGGGGAUGGAAUUCCGCGUGUAGCAGUGAAGUGCGUAGAUAUGCGGAGGAACACCGAUGGCGAAGGCAAUCCCCUGGACCUGUACUGACGCUCAUGCACGAAAGCGUGGGGAGCAAACAGG